rnacentral:rRNA from 1 species
AUUCCAGCUGAUCCUGCUGGCGGAUACUGCUAUCGAAGUCCGACUAAGCCAUGCAAGUCUGAGAGUUCAGCCAUGAGAACUCUGGCAUACGGCUCAGUAACACGUAGCUAACUUACCCUAAGGAGAGGCAAAACCCGGGAAACUGGGAAUAAUACCUCAUAGGCAAAAGAUACUGGAAUGUUCUUUUGCCCAAAAGACACACAUCAUGCAAGUGCGUUCGCCUUAGGAUGGGGCUGCGGCUGAUUAGGCUGUUGGCGGGGUAACGGCCCACCAAACCUAUGAUCAGUACGGGCCUUGAGAGAGGGAGCCCGGAGAAGGGUACUGAGAAAAGGACCCUAGCCCUACGGGGUGCAGCAGGCGCGAAAACUUUGCAAUGCGCGAAAGCGUGACAGGGGGACUUCGAGUGCUAGUUAAACUAGCUUUUGCCAAGCCUAAAUAGCUUGGCGAAUAAGUGGUGGGUAAGAUACGUGCCAGCCGCCGCGGUAAUACGUACAACACAAGUGGUAUCCCCUUAUAUUGGGCCUAAAGAGUUCGUAGCCGGUCCUGUAAGUCCUUGGUGAAAUCGGAUAGCUUAACUAUUCGAAUUGCCCAGGAUACUGCAAGGCUCGAGGCCGGGAGACGUGAAGGGAAUUUCUGGGGUAGCGGUGAAAUGCUAUGAUCCCAGAAGGACCACCAGUAGCGAAGGCGCUUCACGAGAACGGACCUGACGGUGAGGAACGAAAGCUGGGGGAGCGACCCGGAUUAGAUACCCGGUUAGUCCCAGCCGUAAACGAUGCAGACUAGGUGUCCUAAUGCCCACGUGGCAUAGGGGUGCCGAAGCGAAGGUGUUAAGUCUGCCGCCUGGGAAGUAUACUCGCAAGGGUGAAACUUAAUGGAAUUGGCGGGGGCGCACUACAAGGGGUGGAUGCUGCGGUUUAAUUGGAUACAACCCCAGACAACUCACCAGGGGCGACAGUAGAAUGAUGGACAGUCUGAAGGGCUUUCCUGACACGCUGAGAGGUGUUGUAUGGUCAUCGUCAGCUCGUACUAUGAAGCGUCCUGUCAACUCAGGCAACGGGCGAGACCC